GACGAACGCUGGCGGCGUGCUUAACACAUGCAAGUCGAACGAAGAGCGAUGGAAGCUUGCUUCUAUCAAUCUUAGUGGCGAACGGGUGAGUAACGCGUAAUCAACCUGCCCUUCAGAGGGGGACAACAGUUGGAAACGACUGCUAAUACCGCAUACGAUCUAAUCUCGGCAUCGAGGAUAGAUGAAAGGUGGCCUCUACAUGUAAGCUAUCACUGAAGGAGGGGAUUGCGUCUGAUUAGCUAGUUGGAGGGGUAACGGCCCACCAAGGCGAUGAUCAGUAGCCGGUCUGAGAGGAUGAACGGCCACAUUGGGACUGAGACACGGCCCAGACUCCUACGGGAGGCAGCAGUGGGGAAGCUUCCGCAAUGGACGAAAGUCUGACGGAGCAACGCCGCGUGAGUGAUGACGGCCUUCGGGUUGUAAAGCUCUGUUAAUCGGGACGAAAGGCCUUCUUGCGAAUAGUGAGAAGGAUUGACGGUACCGGAAUAGAAAGCCACGGCUAACUACGUG
rnacentral:rRNA from 1 species